rnacentral:rRNA from 1 species
GACGAACGCUGGCGGCGUGCUUAACACAUGCAAGUCGAACGGAAAGGCCCUGCUUUUGUGGGGUGCUCGAGUGGCGAACGGGUGAGUAACACGUGAGUAACCUGCCCUUGACUUUGGGAUAACUUCAGGAAACUGGGGCUAAUACCGGAUAGGAGCUCCUGCUGCAUGGUGGGGGUUGGAAAGUUUCGGCGGUUGGGGAUGGACUCGCGGCUUAUCAGCUUGUUGGUGGGGUAGUGGUUUACCAAGGCAUUGGAGGGUAGGCGGCUUGAGGGGGUGAACGGCCCCCUUGGGACUGGGGUACGGACCAGAGUGCAAAGGGGGGCAACAGGGGGGAAUAUUGGCCAAUGGGCGGGAGUCUGAGGAAGCGACGCCGCGGGCGGGAUGCCCGCCUUUGGGUUGUAAAACGCUUUCGCCUGUGACGAAGCGGUAGUGACGGUAAUGGGUAAAGAAGCACCGGCUAACUUCGUG